UUGUGAUUUUCUCUCGUGUAGAGCUAGAUGCUUUUUUUGCUUUUAACAUGAUUUAUAAACAUAUGCUCAUAUAGUUGUUUGAUAACUAUUGCAUGCUUUGAUUGUUAUUGCAUUUAUUAGCUUAAAUUUAACAUUCAAUUGUGUGAAUCUAAAUACAUAUUCAGAGAAUAGUUCACUUUAUUACUUUAAAUUUGCAUGUCAACUAUUUUUUACUUAUCUAUACUGCACACAAACUAUUGUUGAUGAGUCCUUUGCAAGAAAUCUGAUGACCAAGCACAGCUUCCUGAACCUGUUGAGAGGAAACAAUAGCUUUCUACAGAGAAGGUUUCAAACCGAAAGAUGAUCGUCCGGAUUGGAUAAUAUUAUGACUUCUUCCUAUUCAACCACCUACUGUAAGACUAUCUGUUAUGAUUGACAGCUCUGCUAGAAGUGAGUUCCUCGGAGUCAUGACUACGAUCAUCAUUCCGGCUACCUGACGUAUAACCUGUCCUCUCUUUAGCGGCAAACGCUUCCCUUCAUUCUUAGGCAUGUGGGUAUCAGCUCUCACUACUGUUGAUUUUUCUGUAAUGCACAUUGAUGAUGUUUUGUUAUGUGUAGCCCUACAGAGUCACAGGAGUUUUUUGGAGAGGGCUUGUGUUUGAAGCAGAUGGAAAUGAAAUGAAUGGUUUUAUAGGCAAUCAACACCGGAAUAAAACAUACAACUAAGUAUGAAUUGAAGUAUAAGACGGUAAUUUGAAUAUCAACUUGGAUUAUGAUUGCCCUCAUUAAAAAAUAGUUGCUAAUCUGUGUCUAAGCCAAUCAACAUGGAAAUAUUUUAUAAACUGGGUUCUUUGUUAGUCCAUUUGUUCCCUAAAAGUCUGCUUAGUGCUUCUACUGAGAACGCUCUUGCUUUUUUAGUGUGCGAUGAGAAGUUCUUUUCUGAAUUGGCAAGGGAGGCUUCGUAACAUAACCUCGUGUAUAUAUAGUGGUACAAUUUUAUAGGAAACAUAUUGUUUUAUACGAUUAGUACAUGAUUUUAUACGAGAACACUCCAGUUCUUUUCUAAUAAUUUUUAACUUUGAUUUUCAAACUCUCCUGUUUGUUUGCAUUAAUAAAUAAAUUAAAUAUCCUCCAACUUCUCCUUCACGAUUUACUUUCUCUCGUUCUCCCUCUCCCUCAACUCCUGGCAGUAUCAUGCCUUCAGAUGUUAAGGGGCAAAUGGAAUAAUGCUUCAGUAUUAGAGUUCUAUUUUAUUUUCUGAAUUACAUGGUUCCUAUCUUAUUUAAUACUUCACUUGAGAUUGACUGCUUCUUGCUAUAUUUCAUUUGUAGUUAUUAGUUGUUGACAUUUAUUUGUUCUUUUAACCAGUGUCAACAUGACGAGCUCGAGGCAAAAUUUUUUGAGGUAA